rnacentral:lncRNA from 1 species
AUGUGGAUAAGAAGAAACACAUUCUCAUUUUUCUCCUACUGUUGUAAUAACCCAAGCCAUCAUGUAAUACAUACUGUUUAUUUCAGUCUUGCAGAGAAGUACAAAACAUUUACUAGCUCACAAAUUGUUUUACUUACCACUCUCCCCUCAGGUUUCUCAGCCUUUGCCCUCCAGUCAAUCUGCAGUCACAACUCCACACCAGCCAGGGAUUUUAUGACUCUAAGGAUUAGAAGCUGUUAUCCCAACAAACCCUGGAGCUCUAUAUAUUCUCAUUUUAUGACCGUGUGAAAGGCAAAAAGUGUGCAACAACCAGGUACCGGGGUUUAAAAUCAACGGGAAGAGCUGUCACUGCUUUGUGUUUAAAAAGGAGUCGGAAGAAAUCCGUAUGGGGAGACGGAAUAAUAAAAGUCAGAUCUGCCGACUGAUCGCCCGGGCUUGUUUCAAGCACCCUGAUUUAGAAAUAAAUGAAGAAUCGGAACCUCUCUCCACAGAGAAGAUGCUAUCCUCAUUAGUCUCGUCGGUGGCUCUCAUCAUUUGUUUUAAAGGCGAUCUUGGUAUUUCACGUGAUGGGACCUUGCCUCUUUAAAAUGAGGUUUUCCUUGACUA